UUUCCCCGAAGAAAAACAGCGCACAAAGUGCCAGGAAAGCUAAUUAUUCAAGCUACACUUCGCAGUAUAGACGCACCUCGUUCUGGCAUGUGUGUACUGUACUAAACUAACUAAAGUGGGGGAUAGUGAGGGGAUAAAUUUUCUUAAGGAACUCGGCAAAAUCCCAAUGGCCCACCAGGGCAUAUUGGAACACGGGCCUCGACUGUUUACCAAAAACAUAGCCCUCGGGUAAUAUGAAAAUAGAUGUAUAGAGGGUGAUGCCUGCCCAAUGGUUGUAUCUAAAAGCGGUUGAUAAAAGUCGACCUCGUAAGGACAAUUGAAUGGCCGCGGUAACACUGACCGUGAUAAUGUAGCGUAAUCAAUAGCCAAUUAAUUGUUGGCCAGUAUGAAUGGCGCCACGAAGGCCCCACUGUCUUAAGGAAAUUCCCAGUGAAAUUGAAUUCGUAGUGAAGAUGCUACGUCCAAUUUGUUAGACGAAAAGACCCCGUUGAGCUUUACUGGGGCACUUACACGGCCCCGGCCUUCCCGUGUCCGGGAACCGGCCGAAUUUAAAUGGGUGGUUUAGAUUAUGUGGCAGCCCCCCGCCGGGGCAGAUGAAACCCCACUCCCCCAUGUCAAAGGGGCUAACCCCCUCUUGGGGGGGAGAGUGUAAGUAGGACAGUUUGGUUGGGGCGACCGCCUUUUAAAGAGUAACGAAGGUGCGCUUAAGGUGCGCAAUUAAUGACUGAGGCCUGACUGCUAGGGGGACACCCCGAGCAGACACCCCUAAUCCCGCCCGAAGGGCGGCGGUGGGGUGGGCCAUAGUGACCCGUUGAUUUAGAGUGGAAUAGUUAACGAUCAACGAAUAAAAAGUUACCACGGGGAUAACAGCGUAAUAUCGUUAGAGAGUUUACAUGGCCUGACGAUGUUUGCGACCUCUAUGUUGCAUUGCUGCAUACUACGGGGUGCAGCCGCUCCCACGCUGGUUUUUUUUGGGAAA
rnacentral:rRNA from 1 species